UUUUUUUUUUAGAUUCCAUAAAUAAGUGAUGAUACCGUGCAAUAUUUGUCUUUCUUUGGCUUAUUUCACUAAGUAUAAUGCCCUCGAGAUCCACCCAUGUUGCAAAUGCAGAAUGUCUUUCUCAUGCCUGAAUCAUCCUCCAUUGCAUACAUUUACCACCGCUCCUUUAUCUUGUUCAUUCAUCGACUGCCACUCAGGUGUUCCCAUAUCUUAGCUGCUGUGGAUCAUGCUGAUGAAGCUGCAGUGCACAGUGGAGUUGAAGAAGUCCCUUUCACAUUUCUUGUGAGACUGGCCUAGUGGUGAUGAACUGCUUCAGCUCUUGCUUGUCCAGAAAACUGUCAUUCAAACCUGAAGAACAACUUUGCUGGGUAAAGUAUUGGUUGGCAUUUUUUUUUUCCUUUCAGCACUUAGAAUAUAUCCUGCCGUUCUCUUCAGGCCUGCAGACUUUGCUGAAAACUCUUCUUAAGGGGUUUUCCUUGUAAGUAACAAGUCAUUUUUUCUCUUGCUGCUUCUAAGAUUCUCUCCUUGGCUUUAGCUUUUGACACUUUAAUUAUAAUGUGUCUCAAUGUGGGACUGUGUGGAUUCAUCUUUUUUGGAACUCUCUGGGCCCCCUAGAUCUGGAUUUCUGUUUGUUUUCCCAGGUUAGGGAAGUGUUCAGCCAUUAUUUCUUUGAAUAAGCUCUCUGCCCCUUUCUGUCUCCUUCUGGGACCCCAGUAAUGCAAAUAUUUGUUCACUUGAUGUUGUCACAUACGAGCUUUAAGUCCCCUUCCUCCGUCUCCUCUUCUGAUUGGAUGAGAUUCGCCGUCCUGAUUUCGCGGAUCCUUUCUUCCACGUGGGAAAGUCUGACUCCUUAAGUUUUCAGUUCAGUUACUGUAUCCUUCAGCUCGGAUUUCUCUUUGGUACUUUUAUAUUUUCUUUUUUGAAAUUCUCACCUUGUUUAUAUAUUGUUCUCCCAACCCAGUGAGUGUCUUUGUGGCUGUUACUUGUCAGACAAAUCACUGCUGUUUCAUUAAGGUCUGGUUAAGUUCGAUCUUGUUCUUUUGUUGAGCACAAAUCCCCGUUUCUUCAUCUUCCUUGACUCUCUUAGGUGGUUUCUACCUGUUGACCUUGUGUGGGAGACGAACAUCUUCAGUCAGCCUGGCCAGAGUCUUGGUUGUCUCUCAGUCUUCUGUGAUCACCUCUGCUGCUUGUUGCUUUCCAGUGGCUCCGAGCACUUGAAGGUGUGCGAGGACGCAAGUGUCCGGGAGGGGAGGACUGCAGUCAGCACCUAGAUGCAGGCGGGACUGUCUGGCAGCAGCUGACAAGUUCUUUGUGAUCCAGGAGUGCAAGCCCUGUUGCCCGUCAAAGCCAGGUUAUCCAGGGACCCAGCCUUUGGUCCCAGCUACAAAAGGAAGGGCACUGGACACACAUGCAAACUACUUCUAGAAGAUACUUGUAUCUGUAAGGAUUCACAAGAAUCAUUUGCCAGGAGGUUGUGUAUACGUCAUCUUUUCUGCCCCUUCCCUCUCCCACCGCUGUCUCAACCGGAAAAGGAGCGGCCCUUCUCGGAGCCACCGCUGAGCAGGCUCCACAUUUCAGGCUGCAGAGCUCCUGCCACACAAGACAAAACCCAUGGAGCCCCUUCUCUGGCUCUCAGUCAAGCCGCGGUCAGGAUUGGAGCUAUACCUUCAGAAUCCAGAACUGUUUCUCACCCUUGCUCUCCAAUGUGAUGCAUUCACUUUCAGAAGCUGUGUCAUUCUGUUCCUUUCUGAGAUCCACCACCCCAUCGUUUCUGAUCCUCUCUUCCCAUAAUCCUCACUGAUUUCUGCUCAGUCUGGGUGCUGGUCUCAGAAGUUCCCUCCCAGGGGUAGGCCCUCUCCUUCUGAAAAGGAGUAUUUGCUGGAAUCUUCUGAGAUCCUUCAGCACCGUCUCUUCCUGUGACCCCUUAGCAACUUCCCUUAGAGACAGUGACAGCUUGGAGUAUGUAGGUUUUUUCUCCGUUUUUCGUUUUACUCUAAGACCGGCUCCUCCCAGCAAUUCCCUUUCAGAAUGGAGACCUCUCUCUCCUAGUAGUGAAUUAUCUGAAUUCUAGAACCAGUACCUUUAGUAAUUUUUUCUCUGCCACGGCAACCUCCCACUUUGUGGUUACCAUACCAGGUGUGAGUGAGCAUCCUACUUAAAAAUAAUUACAUAGUUUGUGUCUGUUCCACUGAAGCUCUGAGCAACCCACACACCAAACUGUUUUCAGAAGUUGGAAGAUUUGGGGGCCCCUUGGUGGCUCAGUCGGUUAAGCAUCCGACUUCAGCUCAGGUCAUGAUUUGGGGGUCCUGGGAUAGA